UAAGCUCACGCUCAAGCUGAAGAAAGUAAGCGUAAUUAUUACGUUGUGCACGGAUACACCAGAAGGACCAUUCAUCGUUGUCUACGUCACUUCCACCAUGUUUGGCCCAGCGUCCAUGGGAUGAAGGACAAGCGGUAUUCAUACUGACAUUUAACCGCUUACAGGAGCACCAAGGGAUGCAAAUCUUGGCAGACGAGAUGCUUCACAUUUCUACACCUUGAUAUAAAAACAGCCCAUAUUCAGAUAAUUUUGAUUACCGAGAAGCAGAAAGGAACAGUUCACGAUGAACAGCUCCAUCACGUGCUUUCUUGUCACACUUGCGAUAUAUGUAACCAUCUGCUUCAACUACGUCAGCGGGGAAGCUGGGGAACAGAAAGAAAACGGUGCCGAGGUACUUGCAAGAAUGGAAGCAAGAAGCCUUCAUACGCUACAAAAUGAUGUAAUACAUGUUGUUGUGGAGGACCGUGAACUACUGAAAGAAGCGCACGCGAAGCGUCCGGGUCCCAAAAUAAAAAGCCCUUAUUUCUACCAUGGCAAACG